GCACGGUGGGCUCACAUGUGGGCAGGAUGCCCCCCACCAGGUGGCUCACCAUGGCCAGGAUCCCAUUGUACACAAGCAGGUCGUCCACCAGGAGCUGCAGGGACACGGGGCAGGACUCAUGGGUCCCCCUCGUCCCUCCCACGUUGACCUUGGGCAGAACGCGUUACUGCUCUGAGCCAAGGCUUUCUCCUCGGGAAGACGGGGCUGUCAGGAACAAGCGCCUACUGUGUGCUGUGUCUGCCUUGUGAUUUCAGAUCUUCACAACCAUUGGGAAAGGCAGGAGCUAUCAGCAUGCAUUGCAGAUGAGGAAAUUGAGGCCCGAGGGGCUUUAAUACCAUUAGCACAAGUGGCAGAGCUGGAGGCAAACUUGGGUCUCUGGUAUCCAGGGUCCCUGUUUUCCCCAUCCCAGGGUCACCGCCCCAAACCAGUGGGAUUCUAGAGGAAAAGACGAAAGAAAACCCACUUUCUAUUUGCUCAGGGUGACACUGAAAUCACUGCCAGCAGGUUCUGAAUUCAUGGUUGGGUGGGAAAUUCGCCUGCAUCUGACGACCAGGCAUUUGUGUUGAGGGUUGCAACAGAGAGAAGUAAAUCAAACUGCGACAAAUGAUAAUUGCCGGCGGCCUAAUUACCAACGAGCAUAAUUAUCUCAAAAAACUCAGCUAAUAAGUACUUACGCCAAACUCCUUCACCCCUCGAUGGGGUGUUUUCGCAUAAUUCCACAGUUUGAUCAUUGACACGGUGGUAGGCAGAUCGAAAAUCACAUAAACCCGGUUCACCUGUCAGAGAGCGGCACUAAUUAAAACAGGCAUGUUUGGAAACAGAGGCGCUUGGCUGGGCUGGGGGUGCCAGGCGUGGGCUGGGGUGAGCGGUGGUGCCCAAGGCAGCGCCUGCCACGUGGGCCAGCCUGGAGUUCCGCCCCCUUUCAUCUCCUCGAAGCCCAUCUUGAGUCAGGUCACGUGUGGCUGCAUUUGCAACAAACCGCUGAGCUGGCUUUUGGAGGGCCUGUGUUCUUGGGCCUGUCGGAGCCCUCAUUUAAAUGCCAGUGGAGGAUUGGGAACAUCCUCGGCCCUCCCCCACGUCCCCUCAGGUCAGGCCCAGAAAUAGUCUAGAGCCCCAUGAGCUAAAGGGACAGUCCCCAACUCGGGUUGAGCACCAGCCAUGGUGAUCAGCAUCUGACCCUGUCUGUCCUUUCCCCAAACCAUCACUGAGAAGCAACGCCAAGGUGCUGCUGGACAAUGUCCAGGGCGUGUCUGUGAACCUCCGCUGGGGGAGUAAAAAGGGGGCUGUCUAGAUCGGGGCAGAAUCCAGUGGGAAAAGUGGGACGGAGCAGCCUCAAACAGCCCUCCCUCUCCCCACCCCCAACCAAAGCUCUCAGAUAUUAGGGGAGGCCCUCCCUUGCAAGACAGAAUCAAGAAAUAAGCAUUCCACACUGGCCACAGACUGCAGGCUCAGUCCUGCCCCAGGCCCUGGUCCCCAGCCUGUGACCAUCCUCAGAAUAUGCCAAGAGGGAGUGCGGCUGCUCGGGUAGGGCCAGCCUCCUGGCUGGACCAUGGAAACAAUAAAGGUCAGGGUGAGGGUCUCCAAACUCAGUUGCCUGUGAGGCUCAAGCAGAUACAGAUGUUGGAGUCCAGCCGCGAGAGCAACAGCUGAAGUCGCCGCACCCCAAAAGGCCUUCCAGUGCUAGACAAUGGAAAAUACCCGCUGGCCGUCAGUGGGUGGCCUGAGUCUCAGGGAGGACAGAGCUCUGUUGCCCCCUCUGCAAUGGGGCAGGGGAAGCUGAGGACGCUCAAUAGGGGGGGUCUAAUUUUAGGGUGGCCUUUGGAAAACUUCCGUCAUAGAAUUGCUGAUGCUGUACCUUCCUGUGUUUUCAGAGAAAAAGGUGCCCCCGAUCCCCCACUCAGUCCCAUGGCAUGGACAAGGGACACAUCCCUAGUCAUAUGGCUGCCAAGAACCCGCUGUGCAUCUCUACCAGGCACCUGGCCCUGGGCUGAGAGGCUGCAGGGGGGCUGACCACCCCGUCCAUGCCCUCUCCCCUUCCUCUCCACCACAACCAACCACGUCUUCUCACCAUGAGGCCUCAGAGCUAAAAGCUAAGCAGGACCCAGUGCAAGAUUUGAGAUCUGGGAAACUGAGUCAGUUGGUCGGAAGAGCUGACCAGGCCAAUUUAGGGCCAGAAGGAGGGCAGGGCGGCCGUACUGGGGUCAUCUACCUGGUGAUGUAGGAAGGGGCAGAAACCGUGAGUGUGCGGAGAGCUGGGUGGGGAGGAAGAGGGCACAGUGGCUGCAAAGCCAGGCAGAGCAGAGAACCAGAGAGGGCUGCCUGCAGGGACCCAGGACGCCCAAGCCCUCAGGCAGUUGUGCUGGGGUUCCUGGCUUCAGAUUCCCAUGGGACCCCUUUCGCCCCAGGUGUCCACUUAUAAAAGAGAAAGAACUGCUGGCCUGGAAGAGCUGACCCCAUCAGGCAAGUUAGCAAAGACCUAAACCUUUCUGACAGCUCCCAAGCAUCUUGGCUUGAGAUUAACUUGACCUGGAAGAAAGACGUGUCACUGAGACCAGGGAAAGAAAGUCCCCCUGCCCGCCUGAGGGCCAGGAGCUGCGGUGGCCGCUGCCGGGAACCCACCAGGCCCGGCAGGAUGGGAGCCAGCCACAUGUGCCGGCCAUCACUGGUGUCGUUCACUUGGUCGAUGAGCUUGUCUGGGGUGCGGACGUCCCCGCCCACACCCUCCAGGGAGUUCACGCUGUCGGGGAAGGCCGCAAUAUCUGAGGAGACGUCUAAGUUGCCAUAACCCAAAUCUGUGUGCUCGGGGCUGCCAGCCACCCUCAGGCUGAUGGCGUGGCUCGGGGGACUCUGGGGCUGGCAGGGCUGAUGCUUUGGGCAGCCGCAGCAGUGACAGCUGAAUUGGACGUGUCCUGGGGAAACGGGGAGUGCCGGGCCCAAGGGGAGCAGGUGUGUCUGGAGAGGUGGUCAGUUUCAAGUAGAGAGAGAAGGAAACCACACAGAAGGCCAGCUGAAAAAGAGACGUUGCAGGGAACUGCCAGAGCUGGGGACGUAAAAUGUUGCUGCUGCUUGAGAGGGUGGAGGGCAAGCUCUGCGGAGGUUUUCUUUUGGAAGGGAAUGGGGCGGUGGCUGGAUUCUACCCUGGCAUGUGAGUAUCAUGCCGAGCCUCUCUUCCUGGUCAGUGUGGAAGGACCUCGGAGCAGCUGGACCCAGCUAAUGUGAUCUGCAGAACCCAGCUUCUAGCUCUGCCUCUGCCAUUAUGACCUGUGAGGGCGUGGGCAAGUCACAGGUCAACCCUGGGCCUGUUUUCCCAUCUGUAAAAUGGGUAUAAAAACCUCCAGCUCCCAGGAUGGAUGUGAGGAUCUCAGAGUGCACCAGAUGUGAGCACUUUGGUAAAAUCAAUGAAACUUUAUAGCUUCGAGGAGUCGCUAAUAAUGAUCUAAAACAUCAAGAAUCAUUCAUCCCAGCUGAGGAGGGUGGUGGCACCAGGGGAAGGCAGAAAAGGAUCCAACUGGAAGCCAGGGACCCCAAACAGAUGCAAGGCAGGCUUUGGGGUUCGACUUGCCCUGGUAUUUCCCUAACUGUGGUGGGCCAGGGAUCACAGAUUCAAGAUCCGAGGGGGCCAGGCAGGUUACAUGAAAGAGGCAGGAUAGCCUACUGCUUGGUCAAGAGCUGGUGUCUGGACACUCACUGGCUGUGUGACAUUAGGCAAGUUACUCAAUCUCUCUGUGUCUCAGGCUCCUCAUCUGUAAAAUGGGGAUAACAGCAGCAAUCACCUCACAAGAUUGUUGUGAGGGCAGAUGAGGUAGCACAGAGUGAGCCCUGAGAAAAUAUUAGCAGUGAGUUUCGGGGCCUGGUAGAUAACAAUGGGAGGAGUGGGGGGCUAAGGUAGACCAGAAGGAUAUGCUUGGGGAGAAAUGGCAACAGAUAACCAGGUCCAGCCAUUGUCACUAUGCAUAAUCAAGGGCCUGUGUUGCCAAUUUCUCAGGGGAAACCAGAGAUCAGGGUUUUCAUGUGAAACCUCGUGAUUUCUAAAAAUAUUAGCAACUCAUUUUAAAAUGCACUGGGCUAACAGUCUGCAAAUUCUGGUGUGGGCAUACUAUGCACAAAGGGUUCCAUACUUAAGAAAUUCAGGACACACUGAGUUGAACACAGUGCAACAGGCUUCUCCCUGCAGACCUUGUCAGAGCCUUUGGAACUCCAAAGUAUCUGUGGUUCUCCGAGAAGGGGGCGCUAUAGUUGGCAGCCUCUCUCAAUUCACUGGACCACAGGACUCUGGUUUGUGGAAUUCCUGCUCCUGAUGUCUUAGCAGGCAGGGCUGGGAGCUGCUCUCUGCUGCCCGUCCCCAAGGGUCAGCAUCUGACUAUAAGCAAAGCCCCCUGGGCUCUGGUUCCUAGAGGGCCAUUUCCCUCUGCACACAAGGCUUCUGCCCCGUUCCCGACCCUCCCAUGCUCCCUUCAGUCUGGGUGGAGCCCACUCCUGUCCUACAAAGGAUACUGUUUUCCGACAAGGGGAUUUUUUCUCCUCGCUCGUCAUACAGCUCCAGGCCGGUGAGGCCGAU
rnacentral:lncRNA from 10 species